AAAUCCCCGGGCUUAACCUGGGAAUGGCGCCUGUGACUGUAUAGCUAGAGUGUGUCAGAGGGGGGUAGAAUUCCACGUGUAGCAGUGAAAUGCGUAGGUAUGUGGAGGAAUACCAAUGGCGAAGGCAGCCCCCUGGGAUAACACUGACGCUCAUGCACGAAAGCGUGGGGAGCAAACAGGAUUAGAUACCCUGGUAGUCCACGCCCUAAACGAUNCUGACUAGUUGUUCGGGAUUUACAUCCUGAGUAACGUAGCUAACGCGUGAAGUCAGCCGCCUGGGGAGUACGGUCGCAAGAUUAAAACUCAAAGGAAUUGACGGGGACCCGCACAAGCGUGGAUGAUGUGGAUUGAUUCGAUGCAACGCGAAAANC
rnacentral:rRNA from 1 species